rnacentral:rRNA from 1 species
AUGACAAAGUGGGUGCCUCCUCUCGGUCUCAGGUUCUCACUUCCUCCUCUGCUGCUGCUGGCGGCAGUGAUUGCUCCCGUCCAUGCCUAUGGCAAGCUUAAGGUCGGGUUCUACAGGCAAUCAUGCCCCGACGCCGAGGCCAUUGUUCGCAGGAUCGUCACCAUGGCUGUGGAAGAUGACCUAACGGUCACCGCGCCGCUGCUAAGGCUCCACUUCCAUGAUUGCUUCGUCAGGGGUUGCGAUGGAUCGGUGCUGCUCAACUCAACCAAGACCAACAUCGCGGAGAGGGACGCCAAGCCGAACCUCACCCUGGACGCCUUCAACGUGAUCGACGCCAUCAAGGAGAAGCUGGAGAAGAAGUGCCCGGGCACCGUCUCCUGCGCAGACAUCCUCGCCGUCGCCGCCAGAGACGCGGUCUCGCUGGCAACCAAGGUGGUGACCAAGGGAGAAUGGCGCGAGGGCGGCAACUUGUACGAGGUGGAGACCGGCCGGCGAGACGGCCGCGUGUCGAGCGCCAAGGAGGCGGCGGAGGAGUUGCCUGAUUCCUUUGAUGAAAUCCAGAAGCUCAUCAAGAGGUUUAAGUCCAAGGGCCUUGGAAUCAAGGAUCUUGUUGUUCUGUCAGGUGCCCACGCGCUAGGGAAUUCACACUGCCCAUCUUUAGAGAAGAGGCUACGUAAUUUCACGGCUGAAGAUGACAUGGACCCUACCCUGGACAAGACGUACGCGGCAGCACUAAAGCAACAGUGCACGAGUCCCGAUGACAACGUGACCGAGGUGCAAAUGGUGCCCGGUCGCUCGUCGACUUUCGACUCGACUUACUACCGCCUCGUUAAAGAGAACAAGGGCCUUUUCCACUCUGACGAGGCCUUGCUGAGUAAUGGUGCUACAAAAAUGCUCGUGUACGGUUACAUGAGCUCGGAGAAGAGAUUCCUUAAGGACUUUGGGGUAUCUAUGGUGAACAUGGGGAGGGCUGACGUGCUCGCCGGUAGCAAGGGGGAGAUCAGGAUGACAUGUGCCGUUCUCAACUAA